AUUGAACGCUGGCGGCAUGCCUAACACAUGCAAGUCGAGCGGAUGAAGGGGGCUUUCUCCUGGAUUCAGCGGCGGACGGGUGAGUAAUGCCUAGGAAUCUGCCUUGUAGUGGGGGAUAACGUCCGUAAACGGGCGCUAAUACCGCAUACGUCCUGAGGGAGAAAGUGGGGGAUCUUCGGACCUCACGCUAUCUGAUGAGCCUAGGUCGGAUUAGCUAGUUGGUUGGGUAAAGGCCUACCAAGGCGACGAUCCGUAACUGGUCUGAGAGGAUGAUCAGUCACACUGGAACUGAGACACGGUCCAGACUCCUACGGGAGGCAGCAGUGGGGAAUAUUGGACAAUGGGCGAAAGCCUGAUCCAGCAAUGCCGCGUGUGUGAAGAAGGUCUUCGGAUUGUAAAGCACUUUAAGUUGGGAGGAAGGGCAGUAAGUUAAUACCUUGCUGUUUUGACGUUACCAAAAGAAUAAGCACCGGCUAACUUCGUG
rnacentral:rRNA from 1 species